rnacentral:rRNA from 1 species
UAGGUAUAAGGAGCGAACCUGGGGAACUGAAACAUCUAAGUACCCAGAGGAAAAGAAAUCAACCGAGAUUCCCUUAGUAGCGGCGAGCGAACGGGGACCAGCCCUUAAGCUCUAUUUGUGUUAGUGGAACAUACUGGAAAGUUUGGCCAUAGUGGGUGAUAGCCCCGUACACGAAAAUGCAUUUAGAGUGAAAUCGAGUAGAUCGGGACACGUGAUAUCCUGAUUGAACAUGGGGGGACCAUCCUCCAAGGCUAAAUACUACUUGUCGACCGAUAGUGAACCAGUACCGUGAGGGAAAGGCGAAAAGAACCCCUGUUAGGGGAGUGAAAUAGAUCCUGAAACCGUAUGCAUACAAGCAGUGGGAGCACCUUCGUGGUGUGACUGCGUACCUUUUGUAUAAUGGGUCAGCGACUUACUUUCAGUGGCAAGCUUAACCGUUAGGGGAGGCGUAGGGAAACCGAGUCUUAAUAGGGCGUCAUAG